GACGAACCGUGCGAACGUUAUUCGGAAUCACUGGGCUUAAAGCGCGUGUAGGCGGGACGGCACGUCGGACGCUGAAAGCCCCCGGCUCAACCGGGGAACGGGCGCCGAUACGACCGGCCUGGAGGGACGUAGGGGGACCUGGAACUUCCGGUGGAGCGGUGAAAUGCGUUGAGAUCGGAAAGAACACCAACGGCGAAAGCACUCUGCUGGGCCGACACUGACACUGAGAGACGAAAGCUAGGGGAGCGAACAGG
rnacentral:rRNA from 1 species